GCUAAUAUCGUUUAUUGCACAUAGUGUCAUGGUCCCGGGCCUUUUGACUCAGCAGUUUUUGUUUUUUAUUAUUAUUAUGAUCAUGAUCUUGUGUUCUAGUUUGCUCUGAUUGUGUACUGGGAUUUAGACUUUUUAGUUCUUAGAGCAUGGUGGCACGGUGGUUAGCACUGUUGCCGCACAGCAAAAAGGUCCUGAGUUCAAUUCCACCAUCAGGCCGGGGUCUUUCUGUGUGGAGUUUGCAUGUUCUCCCCAUGUUUGCGUGGGUUCUCUCCACGUACUCCGGCUUCCUCCCACUGUCCAAAGACAUGCAACUUGUGGGGAUAGGUUAAUUGGAUAAUCCAAAUUGCCACUAGGUGUAAAUGUGCGAGUGAAUGUGAGUGCGAAUGGUUGUCUGUCCCUGUGUGUUAGCCCUGCGACAGACUGGCGACCUGUCCAGGGCGUACCCCGCCUCUCGCCCUAUGACAGCUGGGAUAGGCUCCAGCGCCCCCCGCGACUCUGAAAAGGAUAAGCGGAAGCGAAUGGAUGGAUGGAUAGUUCUUAGAGUUUGGUUUCUGUGCUCCCUCAGUUUAGUGUCUGUAUUGUGCCUCUGAGUUCAGUCUAUGCAUUUCCUGUUUUAUGGUGAAAGUCCUUCUCUUAUGUCUGUGUGUUUACGCUUCCUCUGUCUUUUCAGGUCAGUUAAGUUCAGUUGUGUCUUCCUCCUGUUUGCCAUCCCGCGUCUCCCUCUGUGUGUAUUUAUAGUGUGUGUCCUCUUGUGUCUGUGUUAUUUCCCUGCGUCAUCCUGUGAAGUUUCCCCGAGUCUCCCUGCGUCUCCAUUCCAGGUUUCAGGUCUGUCUUUGGUUAGUUUUCCCAGUAUAGGUUUUCCUUAGGUUCUGUUUCAUACCCACUACGUUUCUAUUUGUUUCACCCACAGUAUUAAUAAACCUCACUCACUCCACAAACCGUGACACAUAGAGCCAUUUAACUGGUUCUUACUUAACAAAAAAAGAAAAAAAAAAAAAGUCUCUUCAUCAAAAUAUUUAAGAGAUACCCCGAAGACAGAGACAGAGGGUGCUGCAACACAAACAUUUCCCAACUUUGGGAUAAAUCCUUUUUCUUCUUAUAUCAGUCAUUCUGGAGCUGAUUUUUCUAUAUAUUUCAGGUAUAUUUCAGGUUCUCUAUUAAAUAAAAAGGAAUUAAAUUAAAUAUUAAAAAGCAAUCAAAAAAGUGUUUAUACAUCCUGCUGUCACACAGCAAACAUCAACCUGCACAGCAGACAUCAGUAUUGAAUAUAUGUAAGUAUCUAUCAAUAUUUUUCAACAGGACAAUGACCCCAAACACAGCUCCAGGCUCUUUAAGGGCUAUUGGACCAAGAAGGAGAGUGAUGGAGUGCUGCACCAGAUGGCUUGGCCUCCAGUCACGUGACCUAAACCCAACUGAGAUGUUUUGGGAUGAAAUGGACCUCAGAUUGAAGGCAAAAGGGCCAACAAGUGCUCAGCAUCUCUGGAAACUCUUUCAAGACCGUUGGAAAACCAUUUCAGGUGAAAACCUCAUGAAGCUCACUGAGAGAAUGCCAAAAAUGUGCAAAGCAGUAAUCAAAGCAAAGUUUUGAUGCCUUCAGUGAGAAUCUACAAUGUAAAUAGUCAUGAAAAUCAAGAAAAACCAUUAAAUGAGAAGGUGUGUCCAAACUUUUAU
ensembl:lncRNA